UACGAAGGGGGGCUAGCGUUGCUCGGAAUCACUGGGCGUAAAGCGCACGUAGGCGGCUUUCUAAGUCAGGGGUGAAAUCCUGGAGCUCAACUCCAGAACUGCCUUUGAUACUGGGGAGCUCGAGUCCGGAAGAGGUGAGUGGAACUCCGAGUGUAGAGGUGAAAUUCGUAGAUAUUCGGAAGAACACCCGUGGCGAAGGCGGCUCUCUGGGACGGUACUGACGCUGAGACGCGAAAGCGUGGGGAGCGAACAGG
rnacentral:rRNA from 1 species